UAGGCAAGUGAUGGGGUGACGCAGGAGGGUAGCUCCGCCACGCGGUGGUUGUCGUGGUGUAAGCCUGUAGCCCGAGUCCUAGGUAAAUCCGGGGCUCAUCAAAGGGUGAGAGGUGAUGCGUAGCCGAUU
rnacentral:rRNA from 14 species